AUUGAACGCUGGCGGCAUGCCUUACACAUGCAAGUCAAACGGCAGCACGGGAGCAAUCCUGGUGGCGAGUGGCGAACGGGUGAGUAAUACAUCGGAACGUGCCCAGUUGUGGGGGAUAGCCCGGCGAAAGCCGGAUUAAUACCGCAUACGACCUACGGGUGAAAGCGGGGGAUCGCAAGACCUCGCGCAAUUGGAGCGGC
rnacentral:rRNA from 1 species